rnacentral:rRNA from 1 species
UACAGAGGGGGCAAGCGUUGUUCGGAAUUACUGGGCGUAAAGGGCGCGUAGGCGGCCUACUAAGUCGGACGUGAAAUCCCUCGGCUCAACCGGGGAACUGCGUCCGAUACUGGUGGGCUUGAAUCCGGGAGAGGGAUGUGGGAAUUCCAGGUGUAGCGGUGAAAUGCGUAGAUAUCUGGAGGAACACCGGUGGCGAAGGCGGCAUCCUGGAC